rnacentral:tRNA from 1 species
GCAAUGGGGGGUGGGUUGGUUAGAGCGUAGGUCUCGUAAACGAAAGGUUGCGGGAUCGAAUCCCGCUAGAGGCU